AUGGGUGUGAUUCUGGCUGCAACAUCUGUCACCCCAUUGAUCAUUAGGGUUGAUUUGGAUGAUGCAGCUGGAUAGGCAGGUGUCUCCCUUCCUCCCUCCCUACUCAGAGGACAUCCCUCCCAAAGUCGCAUGCUCAUUCAAAGAGGACAAGCUUCCUUUUUUAAAAAAAAAAAAAUUUAUUUAUUUAU
rnacentral:snRNA from 1 species